rnacentral:rRNA from 1 species
UACGUAGGGACCAAGCGUUGUUCGGAUUUACUGGGCGUAAAGGGCGCGUAGGCGGCGUGACAAGUCACUUGUGAAAUCUCCGGGCUUAACCCGGAACUGCCAAGUGAUACUGUCGUGCUAGAGUGCGGAAGGGGCAAUCGGAAUUCUCGGUGUAGCGGUGAAAUGCGUAGAUAUCGAGAGGAACACCUGAGGUGAAGACGGGUUGCUGGGCCGACACUGACGCUGAGUGCGCGAAAGCCAGGGGAGGAAACGGG